AUGCAAGUCGAACGAGAACGGGAUAUAGCUUGCAUUAUUUGUCAGCUAAGUGGCGCACGGGUGAGUAAUGAUUAGAUAACCUGCCCUCUUGAAAGGAAUAACAGUUCCAAACGACUGCUAAUGCCCUAUAUGCCUUUAAUACAUAAGUAUGCAAGGGAAACGCUUUAGUGCUAGAGGAUGGGUCUGUAUGGUAUCAGCUUGUUGGUGAGGUAAUGGCUCACCAAGGCUAUGACGCCUAACUGGUUUGAGAGGAUGAUCAGUCACACUGGAACUGAGACACGGUCCAGACUCCUACGGGAGGCAGCAGUGGGGAAUAUUGCACAAUGGACGAAAGUCUGAUGCAGCAACGCCGCGUGGAGGAUGACACAUUUCGGUGCGUAAACUCCUUUUAUAUAGGAAGAUAAUGACGGUACUAUAUGAAUAAGCACCGGCUAACUCCGUGCCAGCAGCCGCGGUAAUACGGAGGGUGCAAGCCGUUACUCGGAAUCACUGGGCGUAAAGAGCGUGUAGGCGGGUAUAUAAGUCAGAAGUGAAAUCCUAUAGCUUAACUAUAGAACUGCUUUUGAAACUGUAUACCUAGAAUGUGGGAGAGGUAGAUGGAAUUUCUGGUGUAGGGGUAAAAUCCGUAGAGAUCAGAAGGAAUACCGAUUGCGAAGGCGAUCUACUGGAACAUUAUUGACGCUGAGACGCGAAAGCGUGGGGAGCAAACAGGAUUAGAUACCCUGGUAGUCCACGCCCUAAACGAUGUACACUAGUUGUUGUGAGGCUCGACCUUGCAGUAAUGCAGUUAACACAUUAAGUGUACCGCCUGGGGAGUACGGUCGCAAGAUUAAAACUCAAAGGAAUAGACGGGGACCCGCACAAGCGGUGGAGCAUGUGGUUUAAUUCGACGA
rnacentral:rRNA from 1 species